GCGACGCGUGGACGGUGAUGUCUCUGCGGUUUCUGCGCGGCUUCGGUUGCGGAUACGUAAUUACUAGUUAGUACAUAUACGUUGAGCAAGGCUUGAGAAUUCCACAAACAUUACCAAGAUGACAUCCACUGAGCAGCUCGGCACAGCCCUGCAGGAAGAGUUGGACAGGGCAAAGACAAAUCUUAAGGGAGUGCAUGAGACCUUGCAAAAAUUUCUGGGCAGAGACCCAACAGAACCAAGGCCGAUCCGACGGAGAAUCUCGGCGCCCGGGACCCGGCCGGCCGAUGAGAGCAGUGGCAGGCUGUUCGCCGAGGGCCGCGGCGAGCC